CGCAUCGCCGUUUUCACCACCGGUGAAGCCAAACCCUCCUCCGCGAUGAACCACCGUGCGCAUCAACCUCCGCGGCGAGCUCCAAAUCAAUUUGUUUGGGUUUCUGAAAUGGAUGCAGAUGGAGAUAGAUAGGUCCCAUUUUUUUUGAGAGGGGAAGAAGCGUGCGUUCAACUAUGGCCGAAGUAAGUGCCUCUCUGAAGGGAAAGUCUGCCUAGAAGCUAAGAGCUGGUUGUGGCUCUGGAGCUGUUGUUGAUGAUGAUACAUCUGCAUGAACAUAUUGCAGUUCCUGUUAGUGGUGAUGUAUGCUUGUGACUGCACAAUCCUUGUAGGAACUGUCUGUUGCAGCUGUAUGAGCUCUCUAUUCUGGUACCACCAGUCUUAUAAAGCAGGCAACUGAGGAAAGAAUUUCGAAUCGAUGGAAGAAACACUUGAGCCUGACCCAAUCUUCACAGCAACUGAAAAGAGAUAUUAUCCUUAUUCCUUUAGAAGAAGAAUUGGAUGAAGUUUUGCCUGCAAAUAAAGCGAAGAAGGAACUCAUUCUAUUACAGAUGCCUUUCUUGGGACUGCACAAAAGCAAAGUAUGGAAUAAGCAUAUGGUUCCCUUUUGUCUCCUCUGGUAAGUUUUUUACUUGUUCAGCUAUCAGGAAAAAUUAAAGUGGAUAGGCGAAUCUGAUCAGAUGUGCAUGUUUGUGAAGCGGUAUUCUGAAUUUGAUUGCUAGUUCAUAAGGCACAUAAAGUAAGCUUGAAAUUUACGAUUUAGCUUCUUGAUUUCAGUGCUCUAUGUUGCCUUUCCUUCACAUACGUCCUUGUACAGCUGACUGUUUUCUUACAGUCUCACUUCCAUCAUUUGUUUUCUCCAUGCUUUGAUAGAAAAUGCAUCAAGUUCAGUUAUAGAUAGGUUCAACUGGCAUAAAGUAAAAGUUGUGCAGAAUACUCUUCUGUAAUUUGGGAACAAAGUUCUCAUUAUGGAGAGAGUAGUCGGCACAGUUCAAUAAUAAUAAUUUAAGUUCACUCUAAUUGGUGAGAUUUUAAUAUAACAUGUGGUCAUCUGACCCUUUCGUUUGCUCUGCAAUCAAGUUGAUGUUCAAGCUAUUCUGCAAAUCACAGAUGCAGGAUGCCCCCUCUUGUUUUUGGUGGAAAAAUUGACGGGAAAUUUACAAAAUUGUUCAUGUAUAGUAAAUCAAGUAGAAUCAACUGUAAUUUUGAUACUGCGCGACCGUGUGCAUAGGAAAAGUUUGACAAGCUUAUUCUUUUAAAGGUAACUAAUAGGAGUGGUCCAAUCCAAGAUAACAUCCCUUGUUGUUCUUUAUAGCUUGCUAUUUGUAUAUUUGGGUUGCUGUUAUCUGGAUCAACCAGUCUUCUCCAGAGUUGUUUAGGGAAUCCAUGUGCUUACCAAUUAUAAGUCCUUUCUGUUCACUUAUAUAUUGAGGGAUGCAAAUGGUACCCACCCACGAUAUGAUAUAUGUACCUUGGCUCCGGUUCAACUGCGGCAUGCUGGUGCUUAUCUGUUUCUCCAAGUCGCUGCUAGAUUCGUCGAGCAUCAGCUGGGCAUGGUGAGCAAUGAUGGCCGGUCAUGAGGAGCAUAAACUAAAACUGCUGUGCACUUCAUGGAAUGAACACUUUGUGGCCAUAGCUUUAUCUUUCGUGCUGAAUCCGGUGAAAGCGGGUGUGGAGGAGAACUUUAUCUUUGCGCACAUUACAUUCAGUUGUUGCUUGUUAAGUAAGUGCUUGGAAUCGUAUGCUUUCUCUUUCUUUCUCCCUCCCUGAGCUCCCGGGAGAAGGAAUAAGGGAAGGAGCUGGAGGAAUCGGGGCGCUUUUUGUUUUUGGUAAAGAAAGAUGUGAAGGAAUAUAACGCCUAUCUCCAGGACACCUCUUGUGUGUGGACUGUGGAGUGGUUCUUUUUGUUCUACGGCGUCGCAGGCCUGGGCUGCAGGGCGAGUGUGCGAGACCAAGGGAGCAACACCAGGCAACACGUGUGGAUUGUUCCGUAGGUGGUAUCUUGAGAGUUCAGAGCUCAGUCCAUAUAUACUACAGUAGUAUUAAACUUUCAUCUUGGCUGCAUGGAGAAAGUGAAGCUGAACACGAACAUCAGGGACGGAGAUGGAUAACCAUUGUAUAUAGUCGAGCUGGUCUCUUUUGAUAUCGAAUCUGAAGCCUGUUAAGAUGCUUCUUUUCUUUAGAACCAAGAGCUUUUACAACUGUAUAUUAUUACAAGCGCUUACAGUCCUGCUCAGUGCACUCAACUCUGAACUAUAAAACCCCAGGUGAU